UCCUUCUAAAGCUAAAUACCGCCAUGAGACCGAUAGCGAAACAAGUACCGUGAGGGAAAGUUGAAAAGCACUCUGAAUAGAGAGUCAAAGAGUACGUGAAACUGCCUAGGGGACUCAAACCCGUCGAACUCAAUGAUCCGGGCGGCGACAUUCAGCGGUGACCGUGCAAGCGGUUGCCGUGCACUUGUCGAUCCGCAGCCAACGGACAUCGCGAUCCAUUACGAGAAGCGCGCGCAGGGCAUCUCGCUCUGCGUGCACUCCGGCACCAGGCCCCAGGCUUGUGGUGGACGGCCCCCUAGUAGCGUGUGCGGUUUCCUAGCCGCCCCGACCGGGGGUCUCCUCGUCCUUCCGAGGGCGAGGGUCCGACCGUGUGUGGUGUGCCGCCGGAGCGCGUGAUGGAUGCACGAGAGGGGCCACAGUGUGGUGGGCCGGCCGAGCACGCCGGGUGCCCACCCGCCAUUGAACGCGAUCCCCCGAUCGGCGAUGACGCAGUACGCAUUGAGGACCCUCGACC
rnacentral:rRNA from 1 species